rnacentral:misc_RNA from 1 species
GGAUGACUAUCUAUCGCCUGCGCAUCAUAAUAAAAGUUAAAUUUACCUACAUUUCAUUUUUAUUUGAAUUAUAAUUAAGUGAUGGAAGUUAUUAAAAACAAAAAGUUUUCCAUUGUAUUUCGCUGCACUGUGCCCAAAUGCUCGUAUUCGAGCAAACGGCUAUACAAUCUGCAGCGCCACGAAAAGACCCACGGCAAGGAGCACUGGCGCUCCAAGAGAUUUCUUUGCCCUUGUUGUGCCUACGCGGCAGCCACGCGUGCCCAUCUGAAGCGCCAUAUGAGCAAAAAGCAUCCGACGGAGGAUAUAAACAAGCACACUAUUAAAGUUCUUGCCUACGAGGACUUUGAAAAGCCAGAUGAAGGGUCAAACCCAGAUCAAGAGUCAGUGGAAGAGUCAAUGGAGCAAAAGCGACCAACGGAACCGCUGAAAGCAACAAAGGAGAAGCUCGUGGAAAGUAAUCAGCAGCAGGAGAAGGAGCAAUUAAUUGUGGGACCAGUUACGGUGCUGCAAUUGGUGACGCCAUUGAGCCCGCAAGCGAAGCCCAGACCAGGCGAAAUGUAUUGUAAUGUCUCGUUGGAGGGGGAAGCCUUUCGCCUGAUUCCUGUGGAGCUCUUGCCCGCAGAGGUGGUCAAACAGAACCUGUAACAUCACUACACAAAACGCAAGCCACCGAGCGAUCUUCACAUAUCUAUAUUCUGGCAACCGGAAUUGGAGGUAUUCAUAACCAGGUGCAGCUGCAUUUAGUUGGAAAAAGGAAACACAAUACAGGACAAUGAUAUGUUCAGUCUUCAAAUGAAACACAACAGCGGAGCAAGUAAAAUUCAAUCGAAUGAAAUUAAUAUUAAAGCGAUCGAACGAUUCAAUUCUUGAUUGAAAAAAACUCGGCAAAGACGCGUGGAAUGAGCAGAGCCCGUUUGCAAAGUGGAAAAACUUCAAGUUUCGGAAGCGAUAACUAACUUUUAUAUGGACUGUUGCCGAAUAAAUCAAAAGUAAAAUUAAUACAUUUUUGUUACCAAAUGAAGAAAAC